AAUGCAGAUGAGCUGAAGGCCACUGUCAAAGAAACCUGGGCUUCCAUACCACCUCAGCAGUGCCACAAACUGAUCACCUCCAUGCCACGCCGAAUUGAGGCAGUAAUUAAAGCAAAAGGAGCCCCUACCAAGUAUUGAGUACAUGUACAGUAAAUGAACAUACUUUCCAGAAGGCCAACAGUUCACUAAAAGUGUUUUUUAUUGGUCUUAUGAAGUAUUCUAAUUUGUUGAGAUAGUGAAUUGGUGGGUUUUUGUUAAAUGUGACCCAAAAUCAUCACAAUUAAAAGAACCAAAGACUUAAACUACUGCAGUCUGUGUGCAUUGAAUUUAUUUAAUACAUGAGUUUCACAAUUUGAGUUGAAAUACUGAAAUAAAUGAACUUUUCCACGACAUUCUAAUUUAUUGAGAAGCACCUGUAUGUGACACUGGACCACAAAACCAGUCUUAAGUCAUUGGGGUAUAUUUGUUAUGGGUCAAAAUUAAAAAAAAAAGUUUUAUGCCAAAAAUAAUUAGGAUAUUAAGUAAAAUCCUAAUUAUUGACACUUUAAGACUGGUUUUGUGGUCCAGGGUCACAUGGACCUGACUGAAUAAGUGAUAUAAGUACAAAAUAACGCAUGAGAGGGGUUUAACCAUUUACUGGGCAAAGACAUCACAAAGCCUUUAAUCCCAUAUAUGUGGGAUGCAGUACUUUUGAUCUGAUGUUUGUUAAAAAACAAUCUAACGUAAUCUGAUUGUUUACUCAUCUGACCAGACUGCCAAAAAUGAGGACAUUUUUGUGGACAUGGAAAAGUAAACCUGGUUUCUUUAUCGUGAAAGAAUGAUGUUAAAGUCUGAGUGAGCUAGAAUCCUCAACAAUGAUUCAACAUGUGAAAUCAUGCAGUUUCAGCUGAAUCAUUUAACAGAGUUCAAACACACAAAUGUUUCCACAUAAAUUCUGCAAAUUCAUCUCACUGUAGAAUUCAGGAAACGUCUUGUUUUGCUCUUUUACAGCUUAUGACACAACAGGAAGAGAAUAAUGAAGUUCAAGCUGUAGGGCAGGGGUGUCAAACUCAUUUAAGGUUGAGGGCCGGAUCGGAGAAAAUGUCAGUGCACGAAGGGCCCUCUGAAGUGCGUGAGAUGCUCCGCCUUCGCAGGAUUUCCUAAUUCCCCCACCAGGUGUUCCCCUUUGUCACAUAGCAACGGUACAAGAGGAGAGCUGAUGAGAGGACAAUCCUGUCAGGAUAGGUGCGAUUUUAUAUAGUUUAUUGUCUUGACCAUGGUGAUCACAUGUAGACAGGUUUGCAACCUGGAUUUUUUAGACAGUUAAGCAUAAAAAAAAAAAAAUAGGGCAUAGUACAGCUUAAUGUUCAGUGGCAGCGGUCACAGCUGUUCGGUUUGACUGGUCCGAGUCCAACAGAUGCAGCCUUUGAUAUUAGCAAGAAUUUGUUAAUAAUCUGACAAUAAAUGUUCUUACUUUCAUUUUCA
ensembl:lncRNA